rnacentral:rRNA from 1 species
CCUACGGGUGACAGCAGUGGGGAAUAUUGGGCAAUGGGCGCAAGCCUGACCCAGCAACGCCGCGUGAAGGAAGAAGGCUUUCGGGUUGUAAACUUCUUUUCUCAGGGACGAAGAAAGUGACGGUACCGGAGGAAUACGCCACGGCUAACUACGUGCCAGCAGCCGCGGUAAUACGUAGGUUGCAAGCGUUAUCCGGAUUUACUGGGUGUAAAGGGCGUGUAGGCGGGAAAGCAAGUCAGAUGGGAAAACCAUGGGCUCAACCUGUGGCCUGCAUUUGAAACUGUUUCCCUUGAGUAUCGGAGAGGUCAUCGGAAUUCCUAGUGUAGCGGUGAAAUGCGUAGAUAUUAGGAAGAACACCGGUGGCGAAGGCAGAUGACUGGAGGACAACUGACGGUGAGGCGCGAAAGCGUGGGGAGCAAACAGGAUUAGAUACCCGGGUAGUC